rnacentral:misc_RNA from 1 species
GGAAGGAUCAUUACAAAUCGUUGCGGGGUGUGGGGUUUGGGGGGGUGUGUUGGGUUUGGGUGGUGGAGAGUAUUUGUACGGUGAGUAUUUGUACGGUGAAUACAAGUACUUCUUGUAUCUGUACUUGUAUUUGUACUUUUGCUCCCCUGCCUGCCUACGUGCCUCUCUCUACGACACACAUCACAUAUGUUCGGGACACUUGUCCCGUGACACAUCUACGCUUGUUUUGUUUGUCAGAGUAAAUUGAUGGUUAAUAUAGACAACUUUUAACAAUGGAUCUCUUGGCUCUUGCAACGAUGAAGAACGCAGUAAAGUGCGAAAUGUAGUGCGAUUUGCAUGAAUCUGUGAGUCAUCUAAUCUUUGAACGCAACUUGCGCCUCUCUGAGGCAUGUCUGUUCGAGUACCGCAUUCAUAAUGCAGCAAUGCGAGUUGGCCCAGUCGUUGGGACCUGGCUAAAACCGAGCAAGAUGGUUAGGGGUUGUUCCUCGAUGAGCUAGAGACGCAAGUCUUGUCAUUGAGGUGUUGCAACGCAACGUAACACACCACGCUACCACAUCAUCACACGCUAACGGUCUCGAAUCAGGCAGGACUACCCGCUGAACUUAAGCAUAUCAGUAAGCGGAGGAAAAGAAACUAACUAGGAUUCCCUCAGUAACGGCGAGUGAAGCGGGAACAGCUCAAAUUUAGAAUCUCGGCAGACCCUGCCGCGAAUUGUAGUCUAAAGAAGGUAAUCUAGGUGGGCCGGGGCGACAAAGUCCUUUGGAACAAGGCGCCAGAGAGGGUGAGAGCCCCGUAAGUCGGCCUGGCGUGCCCAAGUGAGAGCCUUUCAACGAGUCGAGUUGUUUGGGAAUGCAGCUCAAAGCGGGUGGUAAAUCUCAUCUAAGGCUAAAUAUUGGCAAGAGACCGAUAGCGAACAAGUACCGUGAGGGAAAGAUGAAAAGCACCUUGAAAAGGGAGUUAAACAGUACGUGAAAUUGUUAAAAGGGAAACGAUUGAGAUCAGUGUUGGGGCGGAUUCAAUCAGAUGCCCCGGUGUCUGAAGCGAUGCGCCUCGAGUCAAUGCCAGUUACGACUGCCGGAUACGUGCAGAGGAAGAUGGGGUCGCUCUUCGGAGCGGCUCUUUAUAGACUCUGAUUACGGCGGCAGCGAUGACUGGAAGGGAGGCAACGUCGCAGACAAUAUGGGCGGUGGUUAGUUGACGGACUGCAUGCAGACGGUGAUGCCAGCGCUUGUUGCGUCCGUGCCCUCGCCUCCCGUCUUUGACGAAAUGGUCUUAAACGACCCGUCUUGAAACACGGACCAAGGAGUCUAACAAUGUUGCGAGCAUUAGAGUGGCAAACUCGGGAUGCGCAACGAAAGUGACAGCCUGCGAGCAUUUGCGCAGCAGGGACCGGCCUGGAUAUAGAUUGAAAGGACCGAGUACGAGCAGGAUUGUUGGGACCCGAAAGGCGGUGAACUAUGCCUGACUAGGGCGAAGCCAGAGGAAACUCUGGUGGAGGCUCGUAGCCGUUCUGACGUGCAAAUCGAUGGUAAAAGUUGGGUAUAGGGGCGAAAGACUAAUCGAACCGCCUAGUAGCUGGUUCCCUC